AAACCUGCAAAGCAGACCGCGAACACGUGCCCAACACCACGGCGCGCGGCGUGGGGGCGUGCCCCCCGUCGCGUCCCCGUCCCCGCCGGCGCGCUCCCUCGGGCGCCGUCGUGCGGGCUAACGAACCCCGGCGCGGAACGCGCCAAGGAAAACUGAACGAAGCGUCCGCCUCCCGCAUCCCGUUCGCGGAGUGUGCGGGGGGGUCGGGCGUCUGUCAAAUAAAUGUCAAAACGACUCUCGGCAACGGAUAUCUCGGCUCUCGCAUCGAUGAAGAACGUAGCGAAAUGCGAUACUUGGUGUGAAUUGCAGAAUCCCGUGAACCAUCGAGUCUUUGAACGCAAGUUGCGCCCGAAGCCAUUAGGCCGAGGGCACGUCUGCCUGGGCGUCACGCAUCGCGUCGCCCCCCCUCCCCGCGCGGGCUGUGGGGGCGGAUACUGGCCUCCCGUGCGCCCCGGCGUGCGGCUGGCCCAAAUGCGAUCCCUCGGCGACUCGCGUCACGACAGGUGGUGGUUGACCGUUCAAUCUCGCGCGUGGUCGUGCUGCUGCGUCGUCCGUUCUGGAUACGUACAUUAGACCCAACGGUGAGGCGAGGAGCGCCUCCUCGCUCGCUUUCGACCGCGA
rnacentral:rRNA from 1 species